GUCUACAGCCACACCAGCCUGAGCGCGCUUGAUCGUGUCUGAGCUUGGAAGCUAAGCAGGGUCAGGCCUGGUUAGUACUUAGACGGGAGACCGAAGGGGAAAGGCUGGUGCCACAGACC
ensembl:rRNA 5S_rRNA 5S ribosomal RNA